UUCUUCAUUGAUGGUUUAGUUCCAAGGAGC
rnacentral:piRNA from 1 species